CCUGCCAGCGCAAGAUAUGGAUUACUAUUUAAUGGCUCUACAAGUCCCUCUGGCCCUCUGGCUUUCAUUAACUUCCUCAUAUGCGGAUCGUUUCUGUUAAAUAGCGGUCAGGGAUACUGAGCUAAACUGAAAGUUAUCCACACUAUUUAUAUUUAUUUUAUUUUUAUCAAAAAGGUUAAUUAUAUGUUUCACAUACAAAAUAAUUAUCUACAUGCAGUGAUGUGAUGGACCUGUCUAUAAUCUAUUAUUCUUGCCCAUGCCAGCUGGAACUGACUCAAGUUGAAAAGCUGCUACAUAGAUAAAACAAGCCAGUGCAGAAGAGCAAAGAACUGAAAGUUCACCAAUUCAAUCUUGAGACUUGCUCUGAAAGUGAAUCAGUCCUCGUAGAUUCCGAGGUUAAAAUGCCCAACUUCAGCAGAUUAGAUAGAAAUGAUGGAAGUUUCCAUUCUAAUUUUAUUUUUAUAACACCAAAUCACAACAAUGGCCUCAAGGCGCUAACAUUCAAACUAACCCCCUAUGAGCAAGCACUUGGGACAGUGGAAAGGAAAAACUCCCUUUUAGCAGGAAGAAACCAGGCUAUGAGAGGGACAGCUAUCUGCUGGGACUGGUUUGGGGUGAGGGGAGGGAGACAGUUUUUUUUUUUUUUAAUAACUCAUUUGUUUGGAGUUUGGUUUCAAGUUAAGGGUGUGAACAUUUUGACUGUGUUCACACAGGCAGUGCUAGCCAGAAACUGUCUGCUAGACCUCGCUUUGCUAUUUUGAGUCACUCAGCUAGAUCUCUUCACUGUGUUUGUGCUGUUGCUCGCAUUUAAAGCAUUUUCAGUGGAUUCAUCUGUUUGUGCUCCAGUUUUUUUGUGAAUGAAAAUCUCAUACAGUUUAUGAAUGCUAACCAAGACUGCUAUAUAGCUGAUCAUUUAGCACUGGUGACAACAUAAAACAAACAACAUAAAAUAAAUACGCAGGUGGCCAAAAUGCUAACUACAUAACAUGCUAAUGCUAAUGUGCAUCUUUUAUAUUCAGUCUAUGUAGCCUACAGACGGGUUACAGACCUGUGAAAAGGAACAAAGUUUUCCAAGGGCAACCUCAUGAUUGUAAACUGAUUAAGAUCUUACCAACAAUUCCAGUAUUGGGUGCGAUUUGGGGCAAUUCUUAUCCUAAAACUAUUAUAUAAAUACAGUCUCAUCAGUUUCAUUGGACCAUAGACCAUAUGGAGGACGGUAAUGAAAAAAAUAUUCUUGUUUUGUGGGAAUCUUUUUAUUUUAUUUUGGCAACCACUAUUCUACAGGAAAAAGUAGGUAUUUAAAUAUAUAUCUGCCUGUUCUAGUUAGAAUUACCUUCAGCAGUGUUACUGCACUGUUGUUAAC
ensembl:lncRNA